rnacentral:rRNA from 1 species
CCUACGGGAGGCAGCAGUGGGGAAUCUUGCACAAUGGAGGAAACUCUGAUGCAGCGAUGCCGCGUGAGUGAAGAAGGCCUUUGGGUUGUAAAGCUCUUUUGUAGGGGAAGAUAAUGACUGUACCCUAAGAAUAAGGUCCGGCUAACUUCGUGCCAGCAGCCGCGGUAAUACGAAGGGACCUAGCGUAGUUCGGAAUUACUGGGCGUAAAGCGCGCGUAGGCCGUUGAGUUAGUUAAUUGUGAAAUCCCAAAGCUUAACUUUGGAACUGCAAUUAAACUGCUCGACUAGAGUUUGAUAGAGGAAAGCGGAAUACAUAGUGUAGAGGUGAAAUUCGUAGAUAUUAUGUAGAACACCAGUUGCGAAGGCGGCUUUCUGGAUCAACACUGACGCUGAGGCGCGAAAGUAUGGGUAGCAAAGAGGAUUAGAUACCCUCGUAGUCCGUACCAUAAACGAUAGAUUGCUAGAUGUUAGGAAAUUUAUUUCAGUAUCGCAGCUAACGCAUUAAGCAAUCCGCCUGGGGAUACGACCGCAAGGUUAAAACUCAAAGGAAUUGACGG